rnacentral:rRNA from 1 species
GAUGAACGCUAGCUACAGGCAUAACACAUGCAAGUCGAGGGGUAACGAGAGGGAAGCUUGCUUUCCUUGUCGACGACCGGCGCACGGGUGAGUAACGCGUAUCCAACCUGCCCCCAACUAGGGAAUAACCUUGCGAAAGUAAGACUAAUACCCUAUACUUUCCUCAGAUGUCAUCUGACGAGGAAUAAAGAUUUAUCGGUUGUGGAUGGGGAUGCGUCUGAUUAGCUUGUCGGCGGGGUAACGGCCCACCAAGGCAACGAUCAGUAGGGGUUCUGAGAGGAAGGUCCCCCACAUUGGAACUGAGACACGGUCCAAACUCCUACGGGAGGCAGCAGUGAGGAAUAUUGGUCAAUGGGCGGAAGCCUGAACCAGCCAAGUAGCGUGCAGGAUGACGGCCCUAUGGGUUGUAAACUGCUUUUAUACAGGAAUAAAGUUAGCCACGUGUGGUUAUUUGUAGGUACUGUAUGAAUAAGGACCGGCUAAUUCCGUGCCAGCCGCCGCGGUAA